rnacentral:rRNA from 1 species
CAGCAGCCGCGGUAAUACGAAGGGUGCAAGCGUUACUCGGAAUUACUGGGCGUAAAGCGUGCGUAGGUGGUGGUUUAAGUCCGUUGUGAAAGCCCUGGGCUCAACCUGGGAAUUGCAGUGGAUACUGGGUCACUAGAGUGUGGUAGAGGAUAGUGGAAUUUCCGGUGUAGCAGUGAAAUGCGUAGAGAUCGGAAGGAACAUCUGUGGCGAAGGCGACUAUCUGGGCCAACACUGACGCUGAGGCACGAAAGCGUGGGGAGCAAACAGGAUUAGAUACCCCUGUAGUCCCUGUCUCUUAUAC